AGCCUGUAAUUAUUAUUGUCAAAUCAAAUAAAUUAUUUAUCUAUAAAUAACUUCAUGCAAAAUUAAUUACCGCAACAUGAAACUGAGCUCAUAACCAACAAACUAUUGAGUUGAUUUUUUUUCCAAUCAAAUAAUGACUUAUGUUAAGCUCUCUCCUAUGGUUGUGUUCUUUCUUGCCACAUUUGCAAUGUUGUUGAUGACAAAGGGAAAAACACAAUUUUGUACUGGUAGUAAUUGUACAGUAGUAGGUGAUUCACAAUGUGGUGAUGGUUGUUAUUGUGCUCCAUCAUUGUUUCCACUUGGUGUCUGUGCCCCCGUAUUCAAUUUUGAUGUUUUCCUGAAUAUGACCAUAUGAUAUGUCAAUCUCAUGAUGAAUCUAUACUUUAAAUAAAUAGUUUGUUUCCAACUAAUGAGUUGGAUUUCAUUAAAUGAUGCAUGUAAAUGGGGGUGCAACUUAAAUAUAUGUUGUUACUUAGCAAAUAUUGUUAUGAAUCACUAUUAAUUGUUAUAUAAUAUUCUUCCUAUAUAACAAUGCUAUGCAAUAAAAAUUGGUAUAGUUACAAGCA